rnacentral:snRNA from 1 species
GGAUGUUGAGGGCGAUCUGGCUGCGACAUUGUUACCCCAUUGAUCGCCAGGGUUGAUUCGGCUGAUCUGCCUGGCCUAGGCGGGGUGUCCCCUUCCUCCCUCACCACUCCAAUGUGCGCCUCCCAAAAGCUGCCGUGCUGGUCGAAGAGGACGACCAUCCCGAUGGAGGAGGAACGUUCUCGGUCAAAGGGUACACAGUUUAGCUGCGCUCCCCUGCUAGAACCCCAAACAGCUCUCAAGAAAAAGAAACGAUGCACGUAUUAAAGAGACGCAGGCCCUGGACUUAACAUAAUAACAAAGUAGUUCAAUGCACCACAAGGGGCAACAAUGUAUCACUGUGAACUGUAACAAUGU